rnacentral:rRNA from 1 species
GAUCCUGGCUCAGGAUGAACGCUAGCGGCAGGCUUAACACAUGCAAGUCGAGGGGCAGCAUAAUGGAUAGCAAUAUCUAUGGUGGCGACCGGCGCACGGGUGCGUAACGCGUAUGCAACCUACCUUUAACAGGGGGAGUAACAACUGAGAAAUUAGGUUACUAAUACCCACUAACAUCAUGAAAGGACGAUCUUUUAUUGUUGUAAAGUUAACGUACUGUUAGUAGA